ensembl:snoRNA SNORA70 Small nucleolar RNA SNORA70
CUGCAUCAGUUAAGCAAUCUGGGUUCCUCUGCUGGUAGGUGCCCAGUGUACAGUGGCUGCGAACAGCAACCUCCUUGGUAGUGUAUGUGGCCUGUUGCUUGUAUGGGCUGCCUUAAGGGAUCUUGAAGACAUUG